rnacentral:rRNA from 1 species
GACGAACGCUGGCGGCGUGCCUAACACAUGCAAGUCGAGCGAAUGAAAUUCCUUCGGGAACGGAUUUAGCGGCGGACGGGUGAGUAACACGUGGGCAACCUGCCUCAUAGAGGGGGAAUAGCCUUCCGAAAGGGAGAUUAAUACCGCAUAAGAUUGUAGUACCGCAUGGUACAGCAAUUAAAGGAGCAAUCCGCUAUGAGAUGGGCCCGCGGCGCAUUAGCUAGUGGUGAGGUAACGGCUCACCAAGGCGACGAUGCGUAGCCGACCUGAGAGGGUGAUCGGCCACAUUGGGACUGAGACACGGCCCAGGACUCCUACGGGAGGCAGCAGUGGGGAAUAUUGCACAAUGGGGGAAACCCUGAUGCAGCAACGCCGCGUGAGUGAAGAAGUAUUCGGUAUGUAAAGCUCUAUCAGCAGGGAAGAUAAUGACGGUACCUGACUAAGAAG